rnacentral:lncRNA from 1 species
AGUGGAAGAAUUGGAACUGGGUAUCACAAGGUGACCACUUCGAGAAUGGUGCCUUUUUUACUCCAUCCGGUAGUCCGAGUGCUAGCAAGCAAUUUGGUGCUGACAAAAUGAUGCCUUUCAAACCUGGUCAAAUGGUCCCUGAACUCACAAAGUAUGCCGGACCACUUAGCUGCACAAUCAGCCGUCCUUGCUAAAACUACUAUUUUUAUGUGGAUAUGUCCCCCCUUUUUUACGUACAACAUUUGAUACCCAAGCAUAGUACAUUUGGGAUUUUUUGUGAAUAAUUCUCAGUAAAUUUUCUUUUAUAAGAUUCAACGUUAUUCUUUUCUUCUCUCCUACUAAUAGAUAAUUAUAAUUUUUUUCUCACGCGUAACUGUGGAAAUCAUAAAUUUAGAUCAUAAAUGUGUGUUUGAAAAUAAAAUAUAACAAAUAAUGAAAUGUGUGGUUUGAAACAAAUUAACAAUAAUAACACUGAUUAUGAUGGUGUCGUCAUCAAUCUUAAUUUGGUGUGGACACCAACUUAAUCAAAUACACAAAUCUAACGUAUCUAAUAUAUAUUCUAUUACAAGGUUUUGUUGGAUUUGGGAAAUUCUUUAGUUUUAAUAGAGUUUAGAAUUUUCCAUGUGUCACCAAUCAUUUCAUGGCAAGUAUGGAAAUUAAUGAAAUUAAAUAUUUGGUUAGAAUUCAAGUUGUGUAAUUAUCUAAAAAUUUUAACAAUCUUGAGACCAUUUAGUGUCUAUAAUGUUUUUAUGUCCCAACUUUCAUAUUCGUGUACUCGGCCAUUUUCAAAACACAUCAAAUCGAGAAAAGAAAGAAAUAAAAAUCAUGAGUGUUCUUCAUAUAGUAAUAUUCUUAUUUAUGCAAGGGCAAUGGCGAUUCCUACCGAUGUUCUUGCAUCACAAUGAACUAAAUUGAUUUUUUACUACAACAUUUAAGAUUGAGAUAUCAAAAAUACAUUUAAGGUGGUGUAUGAGUUUGAUUUAUUUAAGGCUCAGCGUAGGUCGGGGAUGUAACAGCCUGAUUUAGACCCUAAUUGGAAUGGUGGUUUUGGGACCAUGAAUCUAAGUCAAAAAAAUAUUUUAAAAUUAUUUUCUGUGUUUAUUUUGUGUGAAUUUAUAUCUGUGAAAUUUUUGUGAUUUAAUUUUAUUGUUUAGGUGUCCGAUUAAAUAAAAGGGCUUAAUCGCAUAAAAUUAAAAUUUGGUGGUUAUUUCUAAAGUGGACUUAUUUGUUAAUGGCUUUUUAAGUGAGAACCUUUAUGUGGUAAAUAGCCCACUUUCAUGUUAGUUGGACGAUAAUGGACAUAUGUUAUAUAAUUCCAUUAUUAUUUCAUUAAGGUUAAAAUAGGAAAUGAAAUAAAAUGUUAUAAUAUACCAUAUUAUAACAUAAUAAGAAAACCAUAUUCAUCAUUUUUAUUUCCUAAUUGCUGAAACAAAAGAGAAGAACAACAAGCUACGGUUGGACCAUCUAUUUAGCUCAAUCAAGGUUUGUUUUUUGUUCGAUUUUUGAUAAUUUCUACGUUUUUGAGAUCGUUGCUUUGAGUUCUACAAAACCCAUGCUUGAAUUUUUUAUUUUGAUGAAUAUUUUGAGUUGUGCCAUUGUUGAUAGCUUGUGAUUUUUGUUGUUUGAUGAUGAAAAAUGAAAGAUAUGUUUUAGAUUAACAUGUUUUGUAUGGGAGUUUUUGAUGAUUUUGAGUAAUUAGGACUUAAUUGCAAAAAUAAUAAUUUGAGGGACUAAAAUGUGAAAUUAAUGAAAUAUAUGGACUUGUAUGGUAAUGGGUAAGAUUCGGCCGAACAUGGGUAUAGGAAAAUUUUGCAUAUUUUGUGUUUUGUGCAAUAGGGACUAAAUUGUAAAAUAUGUAAAUGUCACGGGUAAAAUGGUAAUUUUCCCAUUUAUGUGUUUUUGGACUAAAUUGAAUGAAAAUAUGUUUAAAUUAACUUAAUUUGAAUAUGUUUAGAUCAAGAACCAAAGAAAUCGGAUUUGGAUCGGGGAAAAACGAAAGUUGUCGACCAGUCGAUCCGUACUGAUUUUUUGUUGUCUGAGGUAAGUUUAUAAGCAAAUAGACAUACUUAAUUUUAAUUAAAUGUAAAGUAUAGAUUCUGAAUUGAAAUAUAUGAUAUUAUAAAUGCAAUUUUUGAAUAUUUAUAAGCUUGGUAAUCAUGUACGAGCAUUCGUUCCGAUCGAGUUACAACAUACGGAAGCCCCGUAUGAACCUUAGGAAUAGCUAGGAUAAAUAUGUCAUGACAUAGGAUUCUGAUAUAUGUGUGCGAGUAGGACCAUGGCAUCGAUAUGUGAUUCCGAUAUGUGUUUACGAGUAAGACCCUGUUUGGGACAGGGGCAUCUAUAUGUGGCUACAUGUAAGACCACGUCUGAGACGUAGGCAUUGUACGAUUUAUGUGAUUAUCCGAGUGUCCUAUCCAAUUCCGAAUGGUUCAUCGGGAAAAGGUAAAUCGUGUACGGAUGUGUAAAAAUGAACUAAAUGGUCAGGUAUGAAUUAGCUUGUUGGUUACUAGUAAAAGAGUAAGUAUAUAGCUCGAUAUUUGCUACAAGUCAUGUAUUAUGCAUAUGUUGAAUCAAUGGGAAAUUGCUAUGUGUAUUCGGCCUUAUGACUAAGUGAAUUGAAUAUUAUUGAAAUGAUGCCUAACUAUGUGUAUUCGGCCUUAUGACUAAGUGAAUUGAAUAUUAUUGAAAUGAUGCCUAACUAUGUGCACAUACGAGACGAUGUAUAUUCGGUCACAUAUCAAGCUUAGGUAUAAAAAGUUUGUUGUGAUAUAUCAGUCCAAAUAUUGGAGGUUAUGUGAAUUAGGUUUUUACAAUGUUUAUUGACUUGGAAAAUUAAAUGUUAAAAUGCUAAUUUGACCACAUGGAUAUUCUGCUAAAGUGAUUUCUUUUAUGUAUGAAAAUAUAUUAAUAAUGAAAUUCAUAUGUUUGUGAUUGAAUAUGGUAGUAUUGAUAUAAUUUGAUUUAGUUUAGUUGAAUAGUUAAUAUUAUUAAAUUGUUUAUUUGCUUAUGACUUACUAAGCUGUGGUAGCUUACUCUGUGUAUUAUGUUACUCUAUUUUAUAGAUUUUGAAGUUAAGCUACAAGCUCGGGGACUGUCAACCAAGCUCAUCACACCAUCUACUAUUUUGGUAUCUUAUUAGCUAAACUUAAAUUAUGGCAUGUAUAGGCUGGAACAUAUAUUUUUGAAGUUUUGAUUUUGGUUAUGUAUUAAAAGCCAUGCGAAAAUGGCUUGUUAUUUAUGUUUAGAUUUGAUUUUAUGUGUGCUUAGUUAUAAUGUUCAUGAUCUUGGUUUGAUAUAUGCGAUUAUGCUUGAUUAUGGUUUGAUUUGUGGUAAGUAGUUUGUGUAAUGAAAAUGGCUUUAUUUUUAGGCUUGAAUUCGGUUUGGGUUGAAUUAUUGCUUAAGUCUUUUUGAUAAAAAAGCUAUAUGUUAUGGUUGUUUAAAAUCUUUGUGUUAUUUUGAAAGUAUAUUUGAGUAUAUACAGCUUGCAAAGGUAUUUUGUGGUUCGGCCAUAUGUUUAUAAUGGAUGUUAAUUAUGCUAGGAUUGCCAUGUGUUUGUUAAGUAAAAAUUAUGUCAUAUGCUGGCAAUAAAUUGAUGACCAUUAUAAUUUAUACUAGAACAUGUGUAUAUGUGAUAUUCAGCCACAUUGAUUUAGUUGAAACUUUAUUUAUACUUUACUUGUGUAUAAGGUGAUUAUAUUAUGGAUGAUAUGUAUAUAUGUAAAAAUGCGUGUGGUUGUAUUUUUAAACUUGCAAGUUGCUUAUAAGUUUGCAAAUAGAUACAAAUGAUCGAUGAUAGCUGAAUAGACUAGAUUAAUGAGGAGUUGGUGAUGAUAAGAAUAGGUGUGCUUAAAUAUUCAACCAUGACAUGUUGAUGAGCUUUUAUAUGACGUUAUAUGUAUAUAUACUUGGUAUAUUAGUUAGUUAAUAAUGGAAAAAUGUAAUGUGAUAAAUAAAGUGAUGGCUAAAUGUAUGCCAGCUUAAAUUAUUUGGUUGUCAAAUAGUAGGUGUAGCAUGUAUUGCAUGAACAUAUUGGUCAGUUGCAUAAUAUGUAAUUAAUGCUAUGUGUAGUUUUUAUUUUCAGGGUAAAAUGCACACCAUGUAUAUAUGCAUUAAUAGCAUAUUUGGCCAAGUUAUAAUGUAUUCGAUAUGUAUGCGUGAUUGCAUAUUAAAUUAUGUAAUAUGUUACAAUUGGUUUGUUAUAAGCCUAAACAGGGGUAGUUAUACAUGCUUAAAUGUCAGGUUGAAAAUAUAGUGAAUUUCACAUGUUUUGAUAUUGAGUUGUCAUUAUGUCUAAAAAUUAGUAAGUUGAGUUGGUGAAACAUGUUUCAUCUGUUAUAUGCUAGUUAUUUAUUAAACCAUUAAAUAAUUACAUAUUUUCGAAUGGAUGUAAAUAAAUAUAUAUAUUAAAGUCUAAUAUACGGUUAAUGAUGUGACAUAUGUUAUGUAUAUGCAUAAAGUGUAAAUUCAAACUAUAAAGUGAAAUGCUUAUUUGUGCGAGCUAUGAUAUGAUCGGUAAUGUAUCGUAGCCUAAUCCGGUGAUGGGUACUGGCUAAGGGUGUUACAAGGGAUCCAUCCAAGACCCCUAAUACUGUUAAAAAAUUUGUUUAAAGAAGUUCAUUUGAUAGGUUUAAGCUCCCACAAUUUACGUUUCUUUUACAAGUAUAGAUUCAAAUACUGAAGCAAAAAAAACUUGCAAAGUCGAGAGUACAUAGGAUUAAUCAUUAGUCAUCUAUGUUUUGAGUUGAUCCUUAGCUGACGCAUGGCAUCAACGUAGUCAAAGGCUUAAAUAAUUGUAUAGAUAUUUAUAAUUGAUGGAGGUAAUAAAGCAUGCGUCACAAAAUUGAAAUUCAUAAAAGAAAAUAAAUGUUUUGGUAGAGUGUUAAAUUUAAGGUUUUACUAACAUAAUAAUUGAUGUGGGUUCAAAUCCCUUCGAAAGCAUAUUUUAUAUAUUUUUAGAAUAAUAAAGAGUAAAAUAGCCUUGAAUAGUAUAACUUAUUUUAACUACGAAAAAAAAGUAUUUCUGAUUUCUGUAAUAGAGUUGGUGCUUGAUCGACUUGUGUCAUCGAAUUAGUUAAGGACUUCAUUAAAAGUUAGUAUAGAUUGGAACGACAUUAAAAUAUGCAUUAAAAAUUACCACAAAGGUUCAAUUUUGCCUCGAAUCUCUAUACUCUUUUAGACUUUUAAAAUUUCAUCCUUCUAUUUUUAAAAUUACAUGAAUUUACUGCUUUACGUAUUCAAUUCAAUAUAAUGUUUAAAAAAAAAUCUAAUCGAUAACACUACUAACAAAAUUUGUUAAAUUUGAAUACUUAGUACUUUUAUAUUCAAAGGUCCAAUUAAAAAAUUAGAGUCUAAUUCAUAUCACAUAUUCAUAUUUAAGAGAAAUCAAUAAACUCUCUUACCAACUGAACUUUUAUUUUUUAAGUCAGCCAGUGGAAGGACAAAAAUCUUGGAAUUGAAAGCGAAGAGCUUUCAUCUCAAAAUGUUGAAGAGUAGAGGGAUUGGAGAAGAAUUAAAGAUUUUUUUUUUGUAAUUUUUGAAAUUAGACGUUCAGAAUGUCAUAAAAAAUGCAAGAAAAAGCUCAACUAUUUCUAUCCAAAAAAAAAAGAAAAGAAAAUCCAAACGUUUUUUACGCACUCGAAACACUAAUAGCCAAGUGUGUUCUAUAAAUUUGGUAAUUUUAAUGAAUCCCAGUGUAGUAUAAAUAGUGACAUGACGAUGGUGUUACAAGCAAAUGAAGCUCGAGUUCCACUUUUUGGUGCCGCAACUUGUCUCUCCUAUCCUAUCAGGGUCCUAUUUUCAUCCAACAAGUUGUUUCCAACAGCUAGGCUUUGAUAGUUAAAAUAACAACCACUAUGGGUAUUUUUAGUUAUAGUUAUAGUUUCUUUCUCUUGUUAUUUGUUGUCACAAUACCAAACCUAGAAGCUCACAUCGCUGAAUAUGAUGAGUACUGAAAGGCACGAGAAUUGAAAGCCAUUGAGAACCUCAACAAGGCCUAUCACCCCAACCCGGAGGAGGUGGUCCGCCAUUACAAUGACCAUUUCUCUAGGACCAUGCUCUAGUUUUAUAUCACCAAAAGGGUGCUAGCAGAAUCAAAAAAAGGUCCCUGUGAGGUUACCAACCCCGUUGAUAGUUGCUGGCGAUGUGAUCCUAACUAGGAAAAGAACAGGAAGAAGCUGGCCAACUGUACCCCUGGAUUUACUCGUGGUACUACCGGUGGAAAGGGUGGUGAGUUUUACGUGGUCAUUGACCCUAUUGAUAAUGCUGCUGACCCCAAGCCUGGAACUCUGCGUCAUGCUGUCACCCAAACCGGACCACUUUGGAUCACUUUCAAAGGGUCCAUGACCAUCAAGCUGGAACAAGAACUCAUUGUUACAAGUGACAAGACCAUUGAUGCGAGGGGAGCCAAUGUGGAAAUUUGCAAUGGUGCUGGUAUUACUAUCCAAUUUGCGAAGAAUGUCAUUAUCCAUGGCCUUCAUAUCCAUCACAUUAUUCCCGCCCAGGGUGGCAAGAUCAAGGAUGGUGAAAACCACGUUGGGUUACGGAGUGCCAGCGAUGGAGAUGGUGUCUCUCUUUUCGGAGCAACCAACAUUUGGCUCGACCAUCUUUCCCUUCACCAUUGCGUCGAUGGUCUUAUCGAUGUCAUUCAAGGUUGCACUGCCGUUACCAUUUCUAAUUGCCACUUCACUGACCACAACGAUGUAAUCUUACUUUUCUUUCUAUUUUAAACUAAGCACGAGGAGGAAUUUUGUUAUUGACAAAAUAGUUUAAUUGAAAUGAAAAAAAUUACAGGUGAUGUUGUUCGGAGCAAGCGACUCAUAUAGUGCCGACGAGAAGAUGCAGGUCACUGUUGCUUUGAACCACUUCGGUAAAGGAUUGGUAGAGAGGAUGCCUAGGUGCCGAUUUGGUUUUAUUCAUGUCGUCAACAAUGACUACAAUCACUGGUUCCUGUAUGCCAUUGGCGACACCAGCCACCCUACAAUUAUCAGCCAGGGAAACAGGUACUCCGCGCCAGGUACCUUCACAGCUAAGGAGGUGACCUGUAGGGGCCUCUUAAAACCGGCACAGUGGAAGAAUUGGAACUGGGUAUCACAGGGUGACCACUUCGAGAACGGUGCCUUUUUUACUCCAUCCGGUAGUCCGAGUGCCAGCAAGCAAUUUGGUGCCGACAAAAUGAUGCCUUUCAAACCUGGUCAAAUGGUCCCUGAACUCACAAAGUAUGCCGGACCACUCAGCUGCACAAUCGGCCGUCCUUGCUAAAAACACUAUUUUUAUAUGCAUGUGUCCUCCCUUUUUUACGUACAACAUUUGAUACCCAAGCAUAGUACAU